rnacentral:rRNA from 1 species
UACGUAGGGCGCAAGCGUUGUCCGGAAUUAUUGGGCGUAAAGAGCUCGUAGGCGGCUUGUCACGUCGGGUGUGAAAGCCCGGGGCUUAACCCCGGGUCUGCAUUCGAUACGGGCUAGCUAGAGUGUGGUAGGGGAGAUCGGAAUUCCUGGUGUAGCGGUGAAAUGCGCAGAUAUCAGGAGGAACACCGGUGGCGAAGGCGGGUCUCUGGGCAACAACUGACGCUGAGGAGCGAAAGCGUGGGGAGCGAACAGG